rnacentral:rRNA from 1 species
UGGGGAAUCUUGGACAAUGGGCGCAAGCCUGAUCCAGCCAUGCCGCGUGAGCGAUGAAGGCCUUAGGGUUGUAAAGCUCUUUCACCGGUGAAGAUAAUGACGGUAGCCGGAGAAGAAACCCCGGCUAACUCCGUGCCAGCAGCCGCGGUAAUACGGAGGGGGUUAGCGUUGUUCGGAAUUACUGGGCGUAAAGCGCACGUAGGCGGUUCAGUAAGUCGGGUGUGAAAAGCUCUGGGCUCAACCCAGAGACGCCACCCGAUACUGCUGUGACUCGAGUACGGUAGGGGGAGCGGGGUAAUUCCUGGUGUAGCGGUGAAAGUGCGCAGAUAUCAGGAGGAACACCAGUGGCGAAGGCGCCGCUCUGGGCCGUAACUGACGCUGAGGAGCGAAAGCGUGGGUAGCAAACAGGAUUAGAUACCCUGGUAGUCCACGCCGU